AGGGCACCCCCCGGAGUGGAGCCUGCGGCUUAAUUUGACUCAACACGGGAAAACUUACCCGGCCCGGACACUGGAAGGAUUGACAGAAUGAGAGCUCUUUCUUUUUUCAAUGGGUGGGGGUGCGUGGCCGUUCUUAUUUGGUGGAGGGAUUUGUUUGGUUAAUUCCGAUAACGAACGAAACUCUAGCCUACUAAAUAGACUGUCCAGUUUUAUAGCUCGAAUCCUCGGGUGUGUACCAUUCGGGUUGCGCAUUCGUCUCUGGGGCCAAUGGCAGUGAUUCUUGGAGGGAUGGGGCGAGGGGCGACUGCUGAAACCGAGCAAUAAUAGGUUGGUCAUGUCCUAGAUUUCCGGGGCCCACGCGAGGACACGAAAUGUUGAGCUUGCAAGCUAGGUUUAGGGAAUGCCAGAAGCAAUCACAUUAAACAAUCCUCGUAACCGGGAAGGGGAGCGUAAUUUUGCCCUUGCCUGGCAUUGUCCAGCCCGCGCGGUCAUAAGUUUGCAUUGAAUGCGUUAGGCGCU
rnacentral:rRNA from 1 species